CGACGACGGCAGCAGGGGGCGCAGCCGCAGCGAGAACCUGUAGCUCGCCGCCGGCGACAGCAGGUAUUCCUCGUGCACGCAUGGCGUCCAGCUGUCGUCCCCGCCCACCCCCAUGUGCCUGUGAUCAAGACGGACCUCGAUGUCGUCCCCCUUGACGAGCUUGUGCUGAUGGGUGGCCCGGUCGAGCUCCGCGGCGCCGUAGUAGCUGGCGCUCACCUGCAUCGGCGGGGACUCGCCGUGGGUCGAGGCGAAGAGGCCGAACCCGUCGGCGUUCUUAAGCGCCACCCACCGGACGUCUGCACGGCCGCCGCACUCGCCCGGGACGAUGUAGGGCACGUGGAGGUCCUCCACGCCGCUCUCGUACACGCCGACGUGCGCCGCGGCCUUGCGGUCGGGGUAGCACUCGAACGGCCCUCUCCCGUACCAUGUGACAUGGUUCAGGGAUUUCUCUGCAUUGAACACGACGCCCACCCGUGGGAGAGGGGGGAGGUCGCUCUUGGGGUUUACCUCGUAUUCGAGGAUUACGUCCCCUGA
rnacentral:rRNA from 1 species